AUUGAACGCUGGCGGCAGGCCUAACACAUGCAAGUCGAGCGAGCGGCGGACGGGUGAGUAAUGUAUGGGGACUGCCCGAUAGAGGGGGAUAACUACUGGAAACGGUGGCUAAUACCGCAUACUAUCGGAUAACCCAUAUGGGAUUAGCUUGUAGGUGGGGUAAAGGCUCACCUAGGCGCCGAUCUCUAGCUGGUCUGAGAGGAUGAUCAGCCAUACGGGGACUGAGACACUGCCCAUGCUCCUGCGGAGGCGGCAGUGGUGAUUAUUGCAAAAUGGGCGAAAGCCGGAUGCAGCCAGGCAGCGUGUAUGAAGAAGGCCGGAGGGUUUUAAAGUACUUUCAGCGGGGAGGCGUUACCCGCAGAAGAAGCACCGGCUAACUCCGUGCCAGCAGCCGCGGUAAUAC
rnacentral:rRNA from 1 species